GACGAACGCUGGCGGCGUGCUUAACACAUGCAAGUUGAACGGAAAGGCCCUGCUUUUGUGGGGUGCUCGAGUGGCGAACGGGUGAGUAACACGUGAGUAACCUGCCCUUGACUUUGGGAUAACUUCAGGAAACUGGGGCUAAUACCGGAUAGGAGCUCCUGCUGCAUGGUGGGGGUUGGAAAGUUUCGGCGGUUGGGGAUGGACUCGCGGCUUAUUAGCUUGUUGGUGGGGUAGUGGCUUACCAAGGCUUUGACGGGUAGCCGGCCUGAGAGGGUGACCGGCCACAUUGGGACUGAGAUACGGCCCAGACUCCUACGGGAGGCAGCAGUGGGGAAUAUUGCACAAUGGGCGGAAGCCUGAUGCAGCAACGCCGCGUGCGGGAUGACGGCCUUCGGGUUGUAAACCGCUUUCGCCUGUGACGAAGCGUGAGUGACGGUAAUGGGUAAAGAAGCACCGGCUAACUACGUG
rnacentral:rRNA from 1 species